rnacentral:ncRNA from 1 species
CAUUCUCAGGGCGGGGUGUAAUUCCCCACCGGCGGUGAUAGCCCGCGAGCGCUUUGGUUUUUUUAAAACCUUGGGUCAGCAGACACCCGUGAAAUUCGGGGGCCGACAGUUAUAGUCUGGAUGGUAGAGAAUG